rnacentral:rRNA from 1 species
AACGAACGCUGGCGGCAUGCCUAACACAUGCAAGUCGAACGAAACGGCCGGGCCUAGUGGCGCACGGGUGCGUAACGCGGGGGAACUUACCCGUGAGUUCGCUAUAACUCCCCGUAGGGUGACCUAAUACCGGUUAAGCUCUUCGGACAAAAGAUUUCUCGCCUUUGGAUGGGCCCUCGUUGGUUUAGCCAGUUGGUAGGGGACAAGCCUGCCAAGGCGACGAUCCAUAGCUGGUCUGAGAGGAUGAUCCGCAACGCUGGGACUACGGCACGGACCAGACGGCUACGGGAGGGAGCAGUGGGGAAUAUUGGAGACUGGGCGAUAACCUGGUCACGCAGCGUCGCGGGAGUGAUGCAGGCGUUAGGGUUGUAAAGCCCUCUUAGCCGAGAUGAUAAUGACGGUACCGGGAGAAUAAGCACCGGCUAACUCCGUG